GACGAACGCUGGCGGCGUGCCUAACACAUGCAAGUCGAACGGAGAUUUCAGCAAUGGAAUCUUAGUGGCGAACGGGUGAGUAACGCGUAGACAACCUACCUUCUAGAUGGGGACAACACUGCGAAAGUGGUGCUAAUACCGAAUGUUGUAUGUGAAACGCCUGUUUCACAUACUAAAGGUGGCCUCUAUUUAUAAGCUACCACUAGAAGAUGGGUCUGCGUCUGAUUAGCUAGUUGGUGAGGUAAUGGCUCACCAAGGCGACGAUCAGUAGCCGGUAUGAGAGGAGGAACGGCCACACUGGGACUGAGACACGGCCCAGACUCCUACGGGAGGCAGCAGUGGGGAAUCUUCCGCAAUGGACGAAAGUCUGACGGAGCAACGCCGCGUGAGUGAAGAAGGUUUUCGGAUCGUAAAACUCUGUUUUCAGGGACGAAUGUGCAAUAUGUGAAUAAUGUGUUGUAAUGACGGUACCUGACAAGAAAGCCACGGCUAACUACGUGCCAGCCGCCGCGGUAA
rnacentral:rRNA from 1 species